ACGGAAGGCAGCAGUGAGGAAUAUUGGUCAAUGGGCGAGAGCCUGAACCGGCCAAGUCGCGUGAAGGAUGAAGGUUCUAUGGAUUGUAAACUUCUUUUGUUCGAGGGUAAAGUGAGGGAUGCGUCCCUUAUUGCAAGUAUCGAACGAAUAAGCAUCGGCUAACUCCGUGCCAGCAGCCGCGGUAAUACGGAGGAUGCGAGCGUUAUCCGGAUUUAUUGGGUUUAAAGGGUGCGUAGGCGGGAUGUUAAGUCAGCGGUGAAAGCGUGUAGCUCAACUAUACCAAGCCGUUGAAACUGGCGUUCUUGAGUGUAAACGAGGUAGGCGGAAUGUGACGUGUAGCGGUGAAAUGCUUAGAUAUGUCACAGAACCCCGAUUGCGAAGGCAGCUUACCAGCAUACAACUGACGCUGAGGCACGAAAGUGCGGGGAUCAAACAGGAUUAGAUACCCUGGUA
rnacentral:rRNA from 1 species